AUUUUUAAUAUUUUAUUCAUUAAUAUAAUUUUCAGAGAAGUUAAUAAGAAAUACAGCACAUGAAAAAAAAUAAAAAACAAUAUAUUACUUAAAGGGACACUAUGGGCACGCAGACCAUUUUCAGCUCAUUAAAGUGGUCUGGGUGCACGGACCCAGCACGCUUAAGCUGCAAAGGUAAUUAUUGCAGUUUUUAAUUGCACUAGACGGACUUCAGGAUCGUUAGGCGACUUUUGGACAUCCUCAUGCUAUGCACUGGAAUCCCCAUAGGAAAGCAUUAGGUAUCCCCCGCCGGCUGAUGUAGGCGGGGGAGGAGAGAAGGUGGACCAGAGGCAGCGCCGAUGGACCCAGGUAAAUGACAGAAGGGUUUUUAACUUCUUUUGCACUACAGGGUGUUGGAGUGGGGGGCUGUGACAGAGUGGGAAGCUAUAGUGCCAGGAGAGCAAGUUUGUUUUCCUGACACUAUAGUUUCCCUUUAAAUUUCAUUGACAGCUUUGAUGAAAUCCAUUAGCAGGCAUUUACUCACUCUGUGCCACGUUAGAUUAAUAAUUUCUGGUCUAAUGUAUCAGAAAACCUAUUACAGUAGCUUUCAAAGUUUGGAACUUAUUAUCAUCACUAAACGGCAUUAUUUCCUCUUUUUUUUUUUAAGAAAAUAAGGGAAAUUUGCAAUAAGUGUUUCCAUUCUGAUACCCCUUUAUCAGUGAUUGGCCUGUGUAUGCGAUUGACAAACCUACAUUCUAAGAGGCUUUGUAGUAGCCGAGGAUGUUCCAUUUUCCUGGCUGCUCUAUCUUUCCUACAUACACACAUUGGUGGUGGGCUAUUAAUAGCCCAGUUUCGGGGCCACUAAGAUGCAAUUGCCUGCCAGCAAAGAAAAAGAUUUAAUUUUGUUCCUGGACAGGAGCAGCUUCCUAUUUUUUCCUGGCAUUUUCUACCAACAGUGUCAAAGCUUUAAAGGUGUUGAGUUGUUUUUUUGUCAAUCUCUUUUUUAUUGAAUCAUAUGAGAUAUACAAUGUAAGAAGAACAAUUUGAGUCAUAUCAACAGUGUACAUGUUUAAACUUAGUGCAUAUUGAUAGUGAAUCAUUGCAAGUGUGAAAGUAGACUUCGGAACAAUGCAGCUUCACUAUAAGACAUUUUGUGAAAAUAAGAAAAGUAAGUAAUGGAGAGAGAUGUGCAACAUUAGCCCCAUCAAAAUACACGGUGCGUCGAUUAUUGACUGGACUAACAAUGGAAAUUUAAGACAUUUACAAUGAUUAUUAUUGCUUCUACUCCAUGAGGCUCCAACAGGGAUGAUAUUGGGAAUUCAGGCGCUCUGUGCGACUCGUAGGACUGAUGCCCACCAGUGUCCAAUCACCCACUAUAGAUAACAGUGAAAACAUUUUUACAUAAAACAGUAACUCAGUAACAGGCACUUCUAUUUGACUUUGUGCGAUGUGUUUGUAUGUGUCAGUAUGUUUGUGUGCAGUAUCAUUAUGUUUGUAUGUCAGUGUUUCUACGAGUCUGUAAUUUAGAGCAGCUCUGUCACGUUCUGGGGUCUUUGCCUAUUUUAAAAUAUAGGUUAAGGAGCAGCGCACACACAAAAAAUGUACUUUUAUAUUUUACAAGGCUACUGAAAAUCACCUCUCUUAGCAAACGUACAGGGAUUCAGUUUCACCAUAUGCCCAUAUUGUGUUGAGCCCACCACUAGGUUAAAGUGUCCCAAUAUCGGUUUCUACACUAAUUUGCUCAUGGGAGAUUAACAUGCUAACUGCAAUACUGCUUAAACAGCUUCCAAAGUCUCUCCUCAAAUUUAUGCUUCAUUGGGCUACCUCCAAAGGGGCACCUGUAGUGGAUGGGUGCUUAACCUAAAGGGAAUCUCGUCAUCAUACCUUAUUCAGUAGUGAUGUUGGUGUAAAGAGCAAAAUGUUUACAAGAUGCAUAUUAACCCCUUAAAGACUAAGCCAAAUUUAUAAGUUGUGAUCAAAACAAAAUGUAAAUAACCCCAGAAUUUGACUCUAUGUCUGUUCAACAAUAAUUUACCACUUUCAUACUAGGGGCACCCACACAUAUUAUAUAUCAUUUCAUAUCAAACAUUCAUACAUGGAACUCCAUUUUAUAUGAAUAAAAUCUAAAAAAGUUUGAAAAAUUAAAUUUUAUUUUUCAAUUUCUGCUUGGCAAUUUAACUGUUAAUGUCAGAAUACUGUUCAGUUUUACUACAAUAAAACAUACAUAUUUGUAUUCAUAAAUGUAUCACGAGUAAAACAGUAACCCCCAUGUACAGGUUUUAUGGGGUUUUGGAAAGUUACAGGGUCAAAUAUACAGCUUGUCCAUUCAUUUUGUUUCUGCAUAGAAAUUUGUCAGAUUAGUUUGCUGUGCCUAGGUUGCAUUUGAGACCGUAUGGCAGCCCAGAAAUGAAAAUUAUCCCCAUCAUGGCAUACCAUUAGAAAAAGUAGACAUCCCAGGGUAUUUAAAAUGGGGUAUGCUCAGUCUUUUUUAGUAGCCACUUGGGCACAAACCCUAGCCAAAGUUAGUGUUCAGAUUUUUAUUUUACAUUUUUCACAUAAAAAACUGUACUUUCACUGAUAAUAUUAUUGUCAUUAAAUAUGUUACUGCUCUGAAACACUCCUAGUUUUGUUCAGUGAUGUCUCACGAGCACAACGGUACCCCCCAUAUAUAGGUUUUAGAAAAUUACAGGGUCAAAUAUACGGCUUGUCCAUUUUUGUUUUACACAUUGACAUUUUGUAAACUGAUUUUCUGGGCCUAUCUCGCCAAUAUCUGAGACCGUAUGGCAGCCUGGGUUACAGUGUUACAGUGAUGCCAAGUGUAACAGUGAACGGCAGUAUUACUGGGGCCAUCAUGUUUGGGGGCACCCUGUCUCCGUCUGGUAUUGGGCAUUCUGAGCGUCCUCUUGUGGGUGGUGGUGGGGCACCAUCCCUUGAGGUCUCACUCAGAGGCUCAAUGUCAGAGGCAGUGAUAGUGUCACUGUCUUGCAGAGUGUCACUAUCACUGCCAGCCAGAAUGGCAUACACCUCCUCUGCUGAGUAGCGACGUGCCAUUCUAGGGGGACAAAUCAAUUAACUAAUAAAAAACUAAGGGGAUAAUUACCUAUUACCUACCUGCCUAACACCAACUACCCAACCUCAAAAACUCAUAAAAAAUAAAAUAAAUGUACUGAUCACAGUUUAGGCAGCUGUGAUCAGUACUGAAAGGGUUAUUGUAUUUAUUUAUUGUUUUUAAUAAAAAUAACCCCAAAAAAGGUCAGCCUGAUCAGAGAGCCCUCUGAUCACAGUGAUCACUGAUACAGUACUGUACAGCAGAUAUACUGUACAGUGAUCACGGCAGCAGGUAAGGGGUUAAGGGAGAUUUGGGCUGAUGCAACUGACACAAAGGGUAAAAAUUAUUAUUUUUUUUGAUUUCCACCCUCUCCCCCCCAAAAAAAAAUUAAUAUAGUACAAAAGUACUAAAAGCCCUAAUCAGGCUGAUCACAGUGUUAAGCUGUGAUCAGCACUGAAAGGGUUAUUUAAAAAAAAUCACUUUUUUAACUUUUAAAAAGUUAUCAAACUUUUUUCCACAGGAUCAGCAACGAUCUCUCUGCCUGUCUCUCUCUCAGAUCGAAGUGAGAUGAGGAGAGGAGCAGAGACAAUGUGUCAGCCAGUGAUUUAAAAUUAUUGGAUGACACAUUGCAACAGUGAUCGCAGUUACUGGCUGUCACUGCGAUCACAUGCUGCAGAUUGCGGUCAUUGUUGCCAGGCAUGCCCCCUGACCGCGAUCUGCAAAGGGGUAAUGGCGGCGGCCACGUGUAUCAGCCAAUUCAUGAAUUAGCUGACACAUAGUAACACUGAUUGCAGUGCCUGGCUGUCACUGUGAUCAGAUGUUGCAGAUCGCGGUCAUUUGCCCGACCGCGAUCUGCAACAGGCGAAUGGCGGUGGCCACGUGGGCGGCAAGAACGGCGAGGACGUUUAUGCUGCCCACUGGCGUUUAGAGCCAGCCCCUCAAGGACGGCAUAGAAUGCCCACCAUCCUUAAGAGGUUAAGGAGCAGGGCACACACACAAAAAAAAACCCAAAAACAAUUUAAAUCCAAGGGGAAUCAGUUACGCUAUAUAGCCAAAUUGUGUCAAGCCCACUGAUUUUGGGGUAAUGGUGGUAAUGGCUAGUGGUGGGCUUAACACAAUACGGCCAUAUGGUGUAACUGAAUCCUCAUAUUUGUUUGCCAAGAUAGGUGAUUUUCAGUAGCCUUGAGACAGAAAGGGGUAUUUUUCUAAACCCCUACACACUUGAUAGGGAACAUGUGGGCUGGGCGGCAGCAUUGUAACAUGGCUGUGUGAUACAAAAGCAAAUACAAAAAUAAGACCAUAACACACAUCAGCCCCAAAACAUACAGAAAAAAAAAAUGUUACCUGCACACCACCCCAAAUCCCUAUGCAUAUUUAUAAAAACCUCUAUUUGUAUAAAUAUGCAUAGGGAUUUGGGGUAGUGCGCAGGUUUCUCUCAUUUACUAUACUGUUACGUGGGGAUUAUGCUUUUAGUCAACACAGGAAAAUAAAACGUUGCAUUAGGAACGGCCAAGUUGACAAUUGGCCGUUCUUAAUUAACUCACACGGACGGUCAGAGGGGGUGGCUUAGGUAGCCUGCCUGGCUGCUCAUUGGUCAGAUGUGGAGAUCUCUGAACUAAAUAGCCAGCCUAUGUAUGGCAUUGUGCCUGCUUUCCUCUGUGUGUGUUAGUUUACAGGUCUGGGCACAAAGCUCCAUAUAAUUCAUAAAUCUGGUGACAUCUGCACCGUGCAAUUCUUCAACUUUGGUCAUAAAACUAUUUUACGUCUUUACAUUUUUCAAGCAGUAGGUGGAGCUAGCAUACCAUUUCACCCUAGCAAUUCAUUUCUAUAACUAUUUGUCAGUGUUUUUUUUUUUGGUUUCUUUUCAAUAUAUUGCAGAUCUCGCGUACAUAGGAUUCCCAUGAGAACUGGAGACUCACAGCAUGAGUAUGCACAUCUUGUGCUUUGUAGUCCCACUGUAGUCCCCAAAGGCCUAAUAUCUGCACACAGUGGCAAGUAAGAGACAGAGAGUUGUUAAUAGAAAAGCCAAAGAGGAUGGAGAAUAUAAAUCAAGAUAAUGUUACAAAACCCAGGGAAUUAGGGAAGAUGAACACGAACUAGAUUACUACAUUGCUCUUAAAGGGACACUGUAGGCACCCAGACCACUUCAGCUCAUCGAAGUGGUCUGGGUGCUGUGUCACUUUUGCACCUAGUUCUGCAAUGUUAAACAUUGCCGUUCCAGAGAACGGCAAUGUUUACAUUACAGCUCUAAGUCUGCCCGCAGUGGCUGUCUACCAGACAGCCACUAGGGGGCUUCCGGGAAUCUUAACAAACUUUUGGUCUGUUAUCUAACACUGGACUUCCUCACACUCUGCAUGAGGACCUCAGUGUCAGAUUUUUAUUCCCCAUAGGAAAGCAUUAUUUAAUGCUUUUCUAUGGUGAAGUCUAAUGCACUCGGCCUUCGCCACGCACUAGACCCUGCUCUUUGCGAGAAAGAGGAGGGGGCGGAGCUUCGCCCAGUGCCGAGGGACCUCGACGCUGGCAUAAGGUAUGUAAAGGGUUUUAUUUACUGGGGGGGAGGGGAAGGGGUGGCGAGGGAGGAGGGAGGCAGAGGGAUCUGUAGUGCCAGGAAUACAGCUUUGUAUUCCUGGCACUACAGUAUCCAUUUAAAUUUGAAAUUCUUUGAAUUCUCACUUUAUUGAAUAACCCUGUUAGUAUCAACGUUACAGAUUAUAAUGGAUACUUCCAACAGGAAAAAAAAAUAAUCUAUUGCAAUACAGCUCUAAAUUUCCCAGAAAAACACUCUUCACUGAGACAGGGAGAAUAAUCACAGUGCCACAUUAAGGAAAUGUGUUUAGACCACAUUGUUAUUUCUAAAGUAGAGAAGGUAGGCAUUUAAAAUAAAUAAAUAAAUAAAUUUAAAUUUUAUUUAACAUUACUGUUUAAACCAGUCAUUAUGAGAUGGGUUUGCGGACUACUCCCUAAUGGGAAUAUCCAUGACGUUGCAUAUAGGUAGUCCUCUCUCCUCUAAAAGUAGGACAGGCUUCAGGAUAGACAGAAAUCUUCUCUAUACACAGCUAAGAACAUCUGCAGGAUCACCACUACCAGAAGUAAUCAAAUUCCCUUUCUGGGAAUCCCUUCAACACUCUUUUCUGGCAGGGUAGUCUUGAAUCCAGUCCCGCAGUUUCUACUGAUGGUAUUCUGGGCAUUUUAUGAAUCGCAACAAAUAUCUCUUCCAAUGUUCUAUCUGAAUAUAAUGUUACCAAGAAUCUGUGUCAGUGUACGGCUUAGUUGGAUAGCCGCUGUGAAGGUAGUAAUCAAAUCUCUGAUACAGCUUUCAAUGACCUUUGCUCUGCUGGUGCCACCCUGAUGCUGAUUCAGCAAACUAGGUGAAAAGGGCAGCACGAUAUCAGCAUCUCUACCUGGAAGAUGGCAUUGAAGUCAAGUUGUUAAAGGAACACUAUAGUAUCAGGAAUCAAUGGCGUACACACAAUCCAUAGGCACUCCCCCCGACAGACACACAUACAAAAUGUUUGUCACCCUCCUGUUUCCUACCUUUUGGGUGCAGGAGGGUGACUUCCCCUGGGGUCCAGUGGUGGCUCAGGCUGGAGGGAGUCAGAGAUCCCACUCAGACUCCCUCUCCUUCCUCCUGCACAGGCUCUGAUAGCUGGAAGGAGUGAUGGGCAGUCUCAUCAUCACAGGGGACCGGUCGCGCUGUUAAAGCACCGCAGCGCUGACUGGGGCCCACUGGAAAUCCAUCUCCAUCGGGUGGCCCUAACAGGAUGGGCCCCUUAACGUGCAGCCCCGGUCGUUUGCUAUGCAGGCCGCAACACAUGGCCCUAUAGGAAAGCAUAAGAGGCUAUCAUGCAUACGCAGCAAAACUCCACGACGUACACCAGUGCAGCAUUGACACAGGAUGCACCUCUAGGGCCACUUGAGUGACUGCCACUAGAGGUUAUUAGCCAGCAUUGUAAACACUGCUUUUGCUAUGAAAAGGCAGCGUUUACAAUGCACAGCCUGCAAGGACAGGCUAUAGCCACCAGAAAAUUAAGUUGUAGCGAUUCUGGUGACUACAGUGCCCUUUUAAUGUUGACAAAUGUAGCGGUGAUCUCAG
rnacentral:lncRNA from 1 species